AUUGAACGCUGGCGGCAGGCCUAACACAUGCAAGUCGAGCGAGCGGCGGACGGGUGAGUAAUGCCUAGGAAUCUGCCUGGUAGUGGGGGAUAACGUCCGGAAACGGUAGCUAAUACCGCAUACCAUCAGAUGUGCCCAGAUGGGAUUAGCUUGUUGGUGGGGUAACGGCUCACCAAGGCGACGAUCCCUAGCUGGUCUGAGAGGAUGACCAGCCAAACUGGAACGGAGACACGGGCCAGACGCCUACGGGAGGCAGCAGGGGGGAAGAUUGCACAAUGGGCGAAAGCCUGAUGCAGCCAUGCCGCGUGGAGGAAGAAGGCCUGCGGGUUGUAAAGUACUGUCAGCGGGGAGGCGUUACCCGCAGAAGAAGCACCGGCUAACUCCGUGCCAGCCGCCGCGGUAAUUC
rnacentral:rRNA from 1 species